UCCAUUUAUAUACUUUGUUAUAUCCCACUUAGUGUGAUUUUAUUUAUGCAUUUUAUUACAGAAAAACGAAUGUGUUUAUUUUUUGGAGAUUGACCCAAUAUCACUGGAGAAGUUAUGUAAUAAAGAAGGAAUGUGCACCUGCAAACUCAAAAAGAUUCUGAAUUCAGAAAUACAUUGUUCUCAAAGGCUGAGGGAGUGGAUUGUGUUGUUAUAUCAGAUUUCAGAAAAAGAAAAAGUUAUCUUUGAAGUGAGGCUUGCGGAGUUGGUAGAUUGGCAGAGGCAGGAGCUUCAUGAAAAUCAGCUGUCUUCAGUUUCCUCCUCUAUGAACAGAGAUUAACAGAAUCUGAAUUGCAGAUAAUUGUGAAGAAAAAGAGGUUUCCUUUUUGGUGUUCAGUCAGUUGUCAUCGAUCAGGGAGAACAUAUAAAAUCCACUCAACAUGGAUUAAAGACCUAAAUCUAUGACCUGACACCAUCAAGUUAUUAGAGAACAUUGGAGAAACCCUUCAAGAUAGUGGCACAGGCAAAGAAUUUCUGGAAAAGACCCGGGAGGCACAGGCAGUCAAAGCCAAAAUGAACUAUUGGGAUUGCAUCAGAUUGAGAAGUUUCUGUACUGCAAAAGAAACAGUCAGGAGAGUGAAGAGACAACUGACAGAAUGGGAAAAAAUAUUUGCAAACUAUGUAACAGAUAAAGGGUUAAUAACCAGAAUCUACAAAGAGAUCAAGAAACUCCACAAAAACAAAACAAACAACCCACUUAAGAGAAGGGCCAAGGACCUUAAUAGCCAUUUUUCAAAAGAGGAAAUCCAAAUGGCCAACAGGCACAUGAAAAAAUGUUCAAGGUCACUAGCAAUCAGGGAAAUGCAAAUCAAAACCACAAUGAGGUCUCACCUCACCCCGGUUAGAAUGGCUCACAUACAGAAAUCUACCAACACAGAUGCUGGCGAGGAUGUGGGGAAAAAGGGACACUAACCCACUGUUGGUGGGAAUGCAAACUGGUCAAGCCACUAUGGAAGUCAGUCUGGAAAUUCUUCAGAAACCUGAAUAUAACCCUACCAUAUAACCCAGCCAUCCCACUCCUUGGAAUUUACCCAAAGGAAUUUAAAUUGGCAAACAAAAAAGCUGUCUGCACCCUAAUGUUUAUUGCAGCACAAUUCACAAUAGCCAAGACCUGGAACCAACCCAAAUGCCCAUCAACGGUAGACUGGAUAAAGAAAUUAUGGGAUAUGUACUCUUUAGAAUACUAUACCGCAGUAAGAAACAACGAAAUCCAGUCAUUUGCAACAAAAUGGAGGAAUCUGGAACACAUAUGCUGAGUGAAAUAAGCCAGUCCCAAAGGAACAUGAAUUAUUUUUACCUUUUUGUGAGUUUUGGAGAUUGUACUCCCAGUUUUUUUUUCUGUGUUCUGUUUUUUCAGUUUAUCCUUACAUGUAUGCACUGGUCAGUACUCGACUGGAUACUCAAGAAGGACCUGCAGGGCGGUGGAGUUCUUUCUGUGUAGCACCCCAUCUUUCAGUAGUCUGCCUCAUGAACUCUACCUGCCUCAGCUUCUCCUGUCUCUCAGCCCUGUCUCCUCAACUUACAAAGAUUACUGGACUACCCCUGGUUUUUCCUUUCAUACAAAAUAGAAAGUUUAGGCAACUCAGAUACUUCCCUCAGUAUUUUUCCUUUCUGUUAUUAUUGUCCCAUGUGACCUGGAAUCCAAUAUCAGGAAGACAUUGUUUCAUAUAUUUUGUAUGGACUUUCAUUUGUAUCAUUAAUUUGGUAAAUCUAGUCUCUUGUUCUCUAAUUUUGCUAGAGGAAGAAGCAGGAGUAAUGCUUUAUAAGUCUUCCUUUUAUCCUUAACUUUUUGCAUUCAUACCUUUGUGUUUUGAAAAGGUAUUUCACCCUAUGUAGGGUGACUUUUUAUUUUAACUAUUGCUUUUUUGUUUUCCUUUUUUUAACUAUUGCUUUUGAGGUAGAAGUUUCAGGUAAGACAUCUACCUCGGUAGAGAACUGAAAUACAAUAUUGAAAUUGUGAUGAAUAUGAAAAAAUUAUUAUUCACAAAAUGAGGCUUUCUAAGGAAAACAAGGAAGGCUCCCAGGCAAGUCUGAAAAUAGCGUGAAGGAGCUAGGAGCAGGAGAUUGGCUUGGCUUUUUUGUGAUUAGGAGAUGGGCUAGAGUAAAGAAACAACUCACUGGAGCAGUCUUGCAGUCUUACAUGGUUUGAACUUCCUUCUUUUUUUAUUUUUUAUUUUUAUUUUUUUGACAGGCAGAGUGGACAGUGAGAGAGAGACAGAGAGAAAGGUCUUCCUUUUGCCGUUGGUUCACCCUCCAAUGGCCGCUGUGGCUGGCACGCUGCGGCCAAUGCACCGUGCUGAUCUGAUGGCAGGAGCCAGGUACUUCUCCUGGUCUCCCAUGGGAUGCAGGGCCCAAGUAUUUGGGCCAUCCUCCACUGCACUCCCGGGCCACAGCAGAGAGCUAGCCUGGAAGAGGGGCAACUGGGACAGAAUCUGGUGCCCCAACCGGGACUAGAACCCGGUGUGCCGGCGCCGCAAGGCGGAGGAUUAGCCUAGUGAGCUGUGGCGCCGGCCUGAACUUCCUUCUUGGGGCCAAUGAUAUAGCACUGGAAGAUACCUCUGAUCACUGAACCCACGUGUGGGACUGAAGGAGAAGCCUAAGAGGUAAGGUUUUAAGACUCGCAGGAGUCUAACAUCAAAAAUGAAGGUAGACACUUAAUUAUAACUCACCCCUGAUCUUUCACUGAUGAUGGAAAUGGGCCACCUUUCACUUAGUUGAAUUGAAUAUGUUGAAGUAAAGUCAUUAUGACACUUUAUAAGAUCCACAGCCUGAGAUCAGCAAGAAAGGGGAAAGUUUCAUUAUAUGCCUUUUGUCAAAAUCUAGCACUGUGUGUUUUGGAAAAUGAAAUAAGUGCCUUGGUCACUAUCAAUAAUGUUUAGCCCUUUGGAGAGAUUUAGGGAUGCAGACUUGUAUUGUGGCCUUAGUAUGUGCAGAGACAUGCAAGACCUUCAUUUAUAUUUUGGAAUGUAAAGCAACAUAGGAAUAAGAAAUUAUUACUAGUCUAGAUGGACAUACAUUGGCAUUGGCUCAAGAGUCUGUGAAAGUAUGGCCAGGGCAUCCAGUGUUUUUCUGUGAUUGCAGGACGCUUGGUUAAUUUUGCCAGGCUUUGAGUCCUGUCUUUGACAGAGACAUCUCGGUUGAAGCAGCAGUGCUCCAGUGAGCAAGCAUCAUGUAUUGGUGGUGCUGCUGUACGCGAAACAUACAACCCACUCUACCUGUUUACUCAGCUAUUCCCAAGAGGACCCUUAGGGAGCUAAGCAUUCUGUGAGAGGAGGAUACACCCUCCAGAGCUACGUAAUCCAGCAAAGGACUGAAGACAGGCAUCCUCCAGUGGGAUAUGGCAGAGCUCUCCAGGUUGGCUCUUUUCAAGUUUGGAUUUAUCUUGUGAGCAGUAUUUCUAUUUUAGCAUGGAGGCCUUGGUAGCCAUGCUGAGCCCUAGGACUUUCACUUCCAUAUCCUCAGGGAUAAUGGGGACCUGAGUGUCAGGGGUCCCAAGCUCUUGUCCUUAGAUGGCUUAGUAUGCAGCCAAGUGAUUACCCUCGAAUGGUAUUUAGUGUGUAGCUGAGGUGGGCAGUUUAUAUGCUAGAAAUCCCUGGGCAAAUUAUAAACAUCUUGGGUGGUCCAUAGGUUCCCACAGGUGUGAGCAGAGUUUUCAAAAGCCUUUUUGGUAAAGAAAUAUCUGAGGGAACACUAUGAAAAAUGUUAUUAUUUUGCAAUUUGGACUACAAUUGUUGCUGUGGGAUCCCCAUCCGAGGUGGAUCAAUCUGCAAGAAAUAGGAUAAGUGGUUGUAAGUGAAAAUUUAACAUGGAGAAUAUGUUGGUUUCAAAUGUAAAAAGGGUUUAAAAAUAUUCAUCUUAUUUUAAUAUUGUUAGUACUAGAGAGUCACUAUUUCUUGAUAACAUUAGGGAUAUAGUUGCCCCUGGCUUACCAAUACCUAUUAUGCCACAGCCCUGGCUCUACCAAAUAGUUUUUGUAGACUUAAGCAAAAUGUCAUGAUCUCAUACAAUGACUGGGCCAUGGAUCUAUCCACUCUGAGGGUGACAAAUGAGUUUCCUUGGAGGAGGAUUCCAUCACUGUGCUGUGACUAUGCAGAAUUGAGGCAAGGCAACAAUUUUGAUGAGUAGACUAAGGCGUAUGAGUUUUUCCUCUAAACUGUGUUAAGUCACUUCUCCCAUAACACAGUGGUUUAUCUUGUUCAGAUUUCAUAGGACCCCCAGGAAUCAGUAAUUUGAGUUUCAGUAUUGAUUAAGAUAAUGAAGUUUUACCAAUCAGUGCAUUUCAGUAGAUGAUAAAGUUAAUUUACAUUCUAUGUUGUGAAAAUACA